AAGAAAUCAAAGACAAUAACGUGAAGAAACAAAUCCCACCUAUUAUGUUGCGAUUUGGAUUAAUUUGUCAAAUACAUUAAAAUCUAUAUAUACAUUUUUGCAGCCACUUUGAAAAAUAAAUCCUGGAGUUGAAAUUUAUUUACAGUGGCUGCCACUGGCAUUUAAUAAUUGUUUUUGAUAAUUAGAAAGAAAAUCUUUGAAUUAAAUAUUUGAUAAUCUUCCCAAAAUCUCUCCACAUUAAUUACACGAUUAGUUACUAAAAUAAAACUUCCAAAAUAUUUAAUAUCAUUUAAUUACUACAAAAUUAUCAUUUUUGAUAUUGUUUUUCUACAUGACUAUAAUAAUUCGAUUAUAAUCAUCAAACCGCAAAGAUAUUUGAUAGCAUUUAAUUACUACAAAAUUAAAAAAUAUUUAGACAAUGAUUUAUAAACAUAUCAUAAAUAAAAUCAGUGAGUUUUUUUUACGGGACGGAUUGGCGGGACGGGUUUGACAGGACGUUACUUAAUAACAAUCGUAAACUAUAAAAUAAAAAUAUUUUAUAGAUAAAUAUAAUUUGCAAACUUUUAUAUAUAGUAACUUUAAAAAAUAAAUUGUCUCCGCGGUAUACCGCGGGUUAAAAUCUAGUCUCUUACAUUUUUAUU
rnacentral:sRNA from 1 species